rnacentral:tRNA from 1 species
GCCAAGAUGGUGAAAUUGGCAGACACGCUACGUUCAGGACGUAGUCCUAGAAAUAGGGUGGGGGUUCAACUCCCCCUCUUGGCA